UGCAGUCGAGCGGUAGCACAGAGAGCUUGCUCUCGGGUGACGAGCGGCGGACGGGUGAGUAAUGUCUGGGAAACUGCCUGAUGGAGGGGGAUAACUACUGGAAACGGUAGCUAAUACCGCAUAACGUCGCAAGACCAAAGUGGGGGACCUUCGGGCCUCAUGCCAUCAGAUGUGCCCAGAUGGGAUUAGCUAGUAGGUGGGGUAACGGCUCACCUAGGCGACGAUCCCUAGCUGGUCUGAGAGGAUGACCAGCCACACUGGAACUGAGACACGGUCCAGACUCCUACGGGAGGCAGCAGUGGGGAAUAUUGCACAAUGGGCGCAAGCCUGAUGCAGCCAUGCCGCGUGUGUGAAGAAGGCCUUCGGGUUGUAAAGCACUUUCAGCGGGGAGGAAGGCGUUAAGGUUAAUAACCUUGGCGAUUGACGUUACCCGCAGAAGAAGCACCGGCUAACUCCGUGCCAGCAGCCGCGGUAAUACGGAGGGUGCAAGCGUUAAUCGGAAUUACUGGGCGUAAAGCGCACGCAGGCGGUCUGUCAAGUCGGAUGUGAAAUCCCCGGGCUCAACCUGGGAACUGCAUUCGAAACUGGCAGGCUAGAGUCUUGUAGAGGGGGGUAGAAUUCCAGGUGUAGCGGUGAAAUGCGUAGAGAUCUGGAGGAAUACCGGUGGCGAAGGCGGCCCCCUGGACAAAGACUGACGCUCAGGUGCGAAAGCGUGGGGAGCAAACAGGAUUAGAUACCCUGGUAGUCCACGCCGUAAACGAUGUCGAUUUGGGAGGUUGUGCCCUUGAGGCGUGGCUUCCGGAGCUAACGCGUUAAAUCGACCGCCUGGGGAGUACGGCCGCAAGGUUAAAACUCAAAUGAAUUGACGGGGGCCCGCACAAGCGGUGGAGCAUGUGGUUUAAUUCGAUGCAACGCGAAGAACCUUACCUGGUCUUGACAUCCACGUGACUUUCCAGAGAUGGAUUGGUGCCUUCGGGAACUGUGAGACAGGUGCUGCAUGGCUGUCGUCAGCUCGUGUUGUGAAAUGUUGGGUUAAGUCCCGCAACGAGGGCAACCCUUAUCCUUUGUUGCCAGCGGUUAAGGCCGGGAACUCAAAGGAAACUGCCAGUGAUAACUU
rnacentral:rRNA from 1 species